UCAAACACACUUACCCGCACUUUCACUUUGAGGGCGAGGUGUUUUUCAAAGAUCCAAGGGAUGUUAUGUAGCAAGUAGAGGAAUCAGAACAAGAGGAAAGAGUUAUGGAAGGCCCAUUCACCUUAAUGACUAUAUGGUCCCAAAUAGGAGGGAAAAGGGGUAAAAUUGAAUAAGUAUUCUAGAAGAUACUUUUCCUAAUAAGUUUCCAUUAUUCACUGUAUCCACUGAUUAUUGAGCCACCAAGAGUUUGUUAGGGAACUCUUUGAUUUUAGCUAAAGAAA
rnacentral:lncRNA from 1 species